GCAGUAAUAGGUCUAUUUCUGCAGUAAGGACUGCUUCCCUGUGGAAUUCCACUGGGAAGAUAAAUGAAAAGAUCCCUGAGUAAUAGUGCCAUAUUUCAAUGGUUCUGGGAAAACAACAAAAUCAAAAUAUAUUAUAUGCUUGCCCCAUGGAAUUUGUGUUCCCAGAAGUAUACAGAUGAAGAAAAUAAUUUUAAGAGUAAGAAUUGCAAAGAGGGAAAUGAACCAGGUGAUCCAAUAGAAUAGUAAGAAAGACUUCACAUUUUGUAUAUAGUUGUCAAUUAAAGCUGUACUGAGAAGAGCUGAAUGUUGUGAAGAAGCCAGACAACGAGAUGAGAAGCUCCUGGGAUGAGUGACCAUCAGGCCAUCUGCAAAUUAACUGAGUGAAUUACCCUCGCCUGGCUUCUGCCUCAUCUGUUCCAUACCAAAUUAUAUCUACACGGUUCCUGCUGUCACAUACCUGCCUCAGGCAAAGCCUCCUGUUUGGAUUUUUCAUUCUUGUAUUUAUGGUUACCAUGAGCCUUGAG